rnacentral:lncRNA from 1 species
UUCUUUAUUAUCUGUUUAGUUGAUAACUCAUUGAUUGGAAGAUCAUCUUGUAUAAAAAAUUUAUAUGCGAGCAUCAUCCAUGAUUCCUCCUCCUCUAUGAGGAAAGACUUUCCACUUCCAUUGCUGGAGUGUGUAAUUUCUCGAAUUGAAACGGUUGAGUCAAGUGAUGUUUAUUUGUCACUGCCAUCUUAGCUAGAAGAUUUACAUCUUCAUUGUUGCCUCUGGCUAUCUGGUAAAGUUCGCAAUUACCUUGCCCGUUUUUUAUCCUCUCC